UUCCCUCGGAGUGGCGCACAUGAGGCCACGUCCUUAUUAGCUGAUGAAUUUUUUUAAAAAAGGCGAUCUGCAAGCGCAACGAGGAGAUGAAUCACCUCCGAAUGAAGUCCCGCUCGACGCCGUUGGUCGCGAGGCUCGACACGCUGGUGAGGAUAACCACGAUCGGCAAGUCGAUGUCAUCAAUAGCGAAGUCACUCGAGUCGGCGCUUGCGACAAGGAAUUUGCAGAAGAUGUCGGAGACGAUUGACCAGUUCGAGCACCAGUUCGUGAACAUGGCCAAAUUGUGGCUGGGCUUCUCAAUUGGCCCCAAGGGACCUUUGCUUCCAAGGUCACUGGCCUAGCGGUACCAAGCUCCUACUUUUCAAAAGAAAGUCAGGAGUUCGAGCCUCGAUGGAGGCAUGUGUGUGAGUACCAAUUAAGAAAACAAAAAAAUAUCAUUAUUUUGCCUUUUGUUUUCUUCAAUACUAGAUUAAGUUAUUCAACCUCAUUGUAUUUAUGUUGCUAUACUUAAUCUGUUCAAGUUUUACACUUGAUGAGAGAUUAACUAAAUAAAAUCCAGAACAUUUUUAUAAAACACAAUUAUUAGGAACAAAAUAUAGAAGUACUUUUAUAACUUAUACAGAGAGUAAUUAUAUAAUUUUUUAUUUAACAAGUGACAACUAAAAAUAUUAGCAUAUAUGAUGUUAUUGUUGUUAUUGACAUUUUUGUCAUCUUCGUAUCAUAGCACUUUAAUUUUCCUUCUUCCUAGCUUCAAAGACUUGCAGAUGAAUAUUAUAAUAUAAUUUAAGACAUGCUUCCCUUUAAUACCAUCUAACAAAAUUGUUUGAGAAAGAAAACUCAUUUAUCUUUAUUAAACAUGAGGACAUGUUAGUAUAAGUUCUCCUUUUCUCUUUUGAUUUCAAAUCAUCCAUAUCAUACAUGUGUGAGCAUUGUUGUAAAUGUAGUAGUGAUAUGUUAAUGAACUUGCAUUUUUGUUCCAUAAUAUUGGACUUCAAAAAUAAAGGCUAAAAGGGUCCAAGUUAAAAUUUCGAAAAAUACAAGUUAUAUUUAUUUCCAAGCUCACUAUAUAUAUAUAUAUAUAUUUGGCCAAUAAAUUAGUGUUUUGGAAAAUUUUUUUUUUGGGGGGGGGGGGGGUGUUGGAAUUAUUUGUAAAAAAACUUUUAAAAAAUUCAAAAUUUUUGUGGGGCCAUGGCCCCUCCUAGCCCCCCUUUCCCCUCUGCCACUGGGUGGGGUGGGCCAUCUAUCAUCAUUCUCAAGUGGAUUUGUAACAGUAAAUAUGUCCAUGUUAAGAUAGUCAUGUUGAAAAUUUGGUCUUUUGCCACCCCUAAUAUACUGAACCAGCUCUGUUGCUGUCCAAAAAAACUAGAGAGUAUAGAUAAGAUAAUGAUAAGACAUGGUUUAUAAAUUAUGAUACGUAUCUCUUAGUUGUUGAUGUAGCCUCUACUAGGGUUAUUAAACUGAUGUAGUAACUUUCACUAGGGCCUUUAAUUAAGAAAAGAGAUCAAAAGAAAAGAAGUCAGAAAAUGAGAGAAUUUGACAGAGAGAUAAGAGAAGAGAAGCAAUAUAAGAGAGAUCUGAGAAAAGGACAAUGAAUUCCAUGGAGAGAGGGAGGACUUGCAUUAGAAGUAAUAAAAUAGAGAAGAGAAGAGGAGGGUGGGAGCAAAAAAACCAGAGAUGGUGUUGAUGGGAAGAAGAAAAAGGGAAGGGUGAAAGAGUGCAAAGCUCUUUCAAAUUUCUCAGAUUAUUAUUCAUUUUUGGGCUCUCCCGUUUUACACCAAUGAGACCAAUUCAUAGGAUUAGUAAACCCUUAAUACAAGUGGAGAGUGCUUAAAACUCAUCCCUGUAAUGCCCCUACUCAUUAAUAUAAGCUAUUAAUGCCUGUUGUUUUACAAAAAUCUCUAAGACGAUUACUUUACAAUGUUUUCUUUGAUUACUAAUUUAUUACGUUAGAAAUCUUAUGGUAUUUUUAUUAUAUUUUGACAUACGGGUCUCAGUGUAUCAUUGUUUUAGUUAGGAUGAUACUACAUAUGGGAGAAGUUUGGAGGGGAGACCAGAAAAUGAUGAAGAGACAGACACCUCCCCACCUGAUUCUGAAAGUAUUAAAGCAAGAAAUUCCGUUUUUAAGUGUAUGUCAAGUAAUGGAAACCAGGCUAGAAAAAAAAAAAUGGUAAUGGAAACCCGGUGUCAGAUUUGACAGUCUUUGAAUUCUGCCUAGGAGGCUAAAUUGAGAGGCCUUUUCUGCUCAGGGAGAUUGCAACAUCAGCUUCUGAACAAGAGCUUGCAGACUUUGCACGGCAGGUUUCCCUAUAUUCUGGAUGUUCCCAUCACAGGCAUUACCAACAAAUGAGGAUUUUGGAAGAUGGAAGCUGCUAAAGUUGAGCUAUUUGCAGAAGCAAAUUGAUGAUUUAGAGACAAUGCAUAGUGUAUAAGCAAGUGCUCUAGCUUCAAUGGAGAGGCGGGAGAUCGAUCGGGGCAGCUUUUACACUGGUCACAAUAUUGCCCACGUAUGAUGAAAAGCGUGAAAGCUCUUCCCCAAAUCAAGAUGGCACUAUACAAAACCCACAGGUACGUAAUAACUUGCAUGGAUCUCACAGUACUCUUCCCAAUUAAUUUUGACUCUUAUUUUGCAUGAAAUCGAAAUGUGUGGCUGCUUUGGGACGACUCAGCUGCCUUCUACUCGCUUUGCAGGGCUACUGUAGCGAUCUUAUCCAGUAAUUAAGUCAUCAGCAUGGUGGGCAGCAUUUUUAAGCUCCGUCAAGCCAUUCCUUCACUGCUCCACUACUGAACUGCUUGUCAUUCGCAUUAUUGACCAAUGCUAGCUUCAAGGGCUCCCAAGGGUGCUUUCAGCUUCCUUAGGAGUCAUCACCAUCUUUUCGUUCCCAAAACAAGUUAAUGAAUUCACGAGACGCGAUCCGAUCAAACAACACUUGAAGGAAAGCUUCAGCCAAUUCCAUUUUCUUUUCUGCUGCAGUUGGAAGAGAAGGUGAGACAUAUAGAGGGAGCAAACGAGAUAGUGAGUGCAAUAGAGAAUAGGUGUGAAGAUCCUCUUCAAUCUUCAAUUUUUCGGUAAAAAAGAAUCUAGUAAAGCUAUCAAUGUUACCUUGUAAAAUAAAAGUAAAGCUAUGAAUGUUACAGUAAAUUACACCAAAAGCAUACUGCUGCAAAUGCAAUAGAACCCCACACUGGCUAAAUUCACUAACGCGUUUUUUUGUUUUUUUUAGUCCUG